AACGGGAGCAGAACACAGGGAUGCCCCAGUAACGGCGAGUGAAGCGGCAACAGCUCAAAUUUGAAAUCUGGCCCCCGGGUCCGAGUUGUAAUUUGCAGAGGAUGCUUCGGGCGAGGUGCCUUCCGAGUUCCCUGGAACGGGACGCCACAGAGGGUGAGAGCCCCGUCUGGUCGGACACCGAGCCCGUGUGAAGCUCCUUCGAAGAGUCGAGUAGUUUGGGAAUGCUGCUCAAAAUGGGAGGUAUAUGUCUUCUAAAGCUAAAUAUUGGCCAGAGACCGAUAGCGCACAAGUAGAGUGAUCGAAAGAUGAAAAGCACUUUGAAAAGAGGGUUAAAAAGUACGUGAAAUUGUUGAAAGGGAAGCGCCCAUGACCAGACUUGGGCCCGGUGAAUCACCCGGCGUUCUCGCCGGUGCACUUUGCCGGGCACAGGCCAGCAUCAGUUUGGCGCGGGGGACAAAGGCUUCGGGAACGUGGCUCCCUCGGGAGUGUUAUAGCCCGCUGCGUAAUACCCUGCGCCGGACUGAGGUACGCGCAUCGCAAGGAUGCUGGCGUAAUGGUCAUCAGCGACCCGUCUUGAAACACGGACCAAGGAGUCGUCUUCGUAUGCGAGUGUUCGGGUGUCAAACCCCUACGCGGAAUGAAAGUGAACGCAGGUGAGAGCUUCGGCGCAUCAUCGACCGAUCCUGAUGUUCUCGGAUGGAUUUGAGUAAGAGCAUACGGGGCCGGACCCGAAAGAAGGUGAACUAUGCCUGUAUAGGGUGAAGCCAGAGGAAACUCUGGUGGAAGCUCGCAGCGGUUCUGACGUGCGAAUCGAUCGUCAAAUAUGGGCAUGGGGGCGAAAGACUAAUCGAACCUUCUAGUAGCUGGUUUCCGCCGAGUC
rnacentral:rRNA from 1 species